UCCCCGAUAGCUCAGCAGGUAGAGCAGAUGACUGUUAAUCAUCGGGUCGUAGGUUCGAGUCCUACUCGGGGAGCCA
rnacentral:tRNA from 1 species